rnacentral:pre_miRNA from 1 species
GAUUUCUGGUGUGGCAUCAUCAAGAUUCACACAAUGUAUGGCAUGCAUGCGAUGCUCUCAUCCUUCCCCAUCCAUGCAUGCAUGUGAACUGUAGUUCCGUUCAUGCAUGGAGAUGGAUGGAUUGAUGAGCUUGCUUGCUCGCUAGCCAGCGUACUAUGUGUGGGAAUCUUGAUGAUGCUGCAUCGGUGAUCAA